UACGUAGGUCCCGAGCGUUGUCCGGAUUUAUUGGGCGUAAAGCGAGCGCAGGUGGUUUAAUAAGUCUGAUGUAAAAGGCAGUGGCUUAACCAUUGUACGCUUUGGAAACUGGAGGACUUGAGUGCAGUAGAGGAGAGUGGAAUUCCAUGUGUAGCGGUGAAAUGCGUAGAUAUAUGGAGGAACACCGGUGGCGAAAGCGGCUCUCUGGACUGUAACUGACACUGAGGCUCGAAAGCGUGGGUAGCAAACAGG
rnacentral:rRNA from 1 species